AUGUGGGUGGAGAGGGGGCAUGGCGGCAGGGAGCAGAGGGUAGAGACGAGUGUCUUUAAAUCAGCAGAACAAUCAGUACUAGGCAGGGGCAAUUUUGAAAUUAGGCUUCGGAUUCUAUUUUAUCUUAUUUUUUAUGAAAAGGACCAGCUUCUCUCUGAUGAAGAAGUCCUGCUGCUCUAUUGUUACAAUCUCACCUCCACUCAUACAGUUUCACGCCGUUACAUUUCUGACCCACUUUCUUCAUCUCCUUUGCUUGUUUCCUUCAAGAGCAGUUUUAGCUCCCAACCCCAGCUAGCACCUUGCUUAAAUUGCUUUAAUCUCCAAGUGCUUCUUAUAUUGAUUUUAAACAGUUAAGCUGCCAAUCAACUGCUCUCCUUGCGCAGCAGCUGAGGGCGAAGAGAUUAAAACAACAAACAAAUAAGGCCGAGCUAAGAAGUUGGUUAGAAUUUCCAAGUGAAUGUCAGCACCUACCAGCAGUGUCUCUUUCCCCCUCCCAUCAUGAAGGUGCAAAGUUAUUACAAACAGACUGUGCCUGGCUUUGUAAUGUUAACAAUAGCAGGCAUUUAAUGANNNNNNNNNNNNNNNNNNNNNNNNNNNNNNNNNNNNNNNNNNNNNNNNNNNNNNNNNNNNNNNNNNNNNNNNNNNGUGGUAAGUCAUAUCAUUAUUCUGCUCUAGUAGGAGAGGAAAUCGAGGCAUAGAAAAGUGAAGUGACCCAUCUAAGGUCACCUUAGCUAGUGAAUGGUAGGGCAAGGUCCCAAAUGCAGUCUGUCUUCAGCAUAUGAACUAGUAGCCAGUGCGCUAUAUGGACUCCUUCAGCUUGUUGCAGAAUCUCCCUUAGGCUGUAGCAAAGAGCAAAACAGGAAUGCCAACUUCCAACAAACAGAGGGGAGACUGGUCAAAAUACGUGAAAGUUAAGUACGUCUUGCUUCUUAAUCUAAUGAACAUUCAUGAAGCUCUGGUUAACCCAGCUCGACACUGGGGAUACAGAGAUAGGUUAGUUUGGGUUCUCAGAGAUCUCAAAAUCUAAUGGAGUCUAAUCACAGAGAAGCACGUCACCUGGGAAUGCUGGUGAAGGAGGAGAGGCAGGCAAGUGAGCCAACAGUUCUUAAUCUUUCGAGAUAUAACUCACACCUCACCCCUUCUAGGAAGCCUUCCCUGACCGCCUUCGCUGGCUCUUCUCUUGUCAGAGCACUCACUCUUGAGCACCGAAGCGGCAGAAACACUUGUCUGUUUCUCUAGCUAGAUAAGGGGCCUGAAAAUGCCAUCUUGAGACCCCUUAUCUAGCUGGGCCGCCAUCUGCUUUCAUAAAUAAGAGUUUGACUGAAACACAGUUGUGGCCAUUUGUUUACAUAUUGUCCAUGACUGCUUUUAAGCUACAAGAGUGCAGUCAAACAGUUGCAUCAGAGACUAUCCGGCCUGUGAAGCCAAAGCUAAUUACUAUCUAGCUUUUUUCAUAAAAAUUUGCUGACCCCUAUACUAAGGCUAUCAGUAUUUUCAGGGCAAGAAGCUUGCUCUUUACUUCUGAAUCUGUGGUAGCCAUCCCUGAAUGAAUAGGAUCAUUCUGGGUAAAUCUCACUGAAGCAUCAUUUUUAAGUUUGGCCUGGGAUAGAGUCUUAAAAUGAAGGUCCCUGCUAGACAGAGAGGCAGAGCGAAUGCUGGAACUCCCGCUCAGCUCUCUUGUUUCUUGGCUCAGCGCACACCCCAUCAAUGACAGAGCAAAUGGCUGGGUGAUUUAGCAACCAAACCCAGGACUGCUGGAGUCACUCUGUAAGAACUAACAUCCACAACGAAGAGCGGCUUGGGUACAGACAGAGGGAACAAAGCGGAGACAAAGGGAAAAUAGACCUGCAUGAGAUGAUUUGCCGCUUUAAUUUUCCUAGGGGGUGACAUAACUUUGUAACAGGUAGGUUAUUUUGGUUCUUCAUUAGGACCCUUAUUAUUAGAUAACAUGGUGUUGGAUGUAUCUAACUGCACCUGCUGUGUUAGAGAUCGUGAAGUGGAGUGCAUAAUAUCACAUCUGUCUUGGGAAGGACCAAGUGGGAGUGGGCGUGAGGGUGGGCAAACAACAGAUUGGAUGGCGGGUAGAAAUUACCUGCAAGAUUUCCGUGCUCUGAGCUGGUAACAGGCCCAGUGUGUUUGAAUGAACAUUCUAUCUGAGCAAUUGCUGGCAAGAGGGUCAUCCAUCUUGAAAGAGAACAAUUUUGCUCGAAUCACAGUGUGCCCAGCAAGAGCUCAGCUGGUCUGAACAUUUUUGGUAUCUUGGCCGGCAGUUUUCUCCCAAGUGGUAUGCGGGGAACAGUUAAGUUUUCAGAGGACAGGCUGCAGUGUGCAGAGAGGCCUAGGAGUCAGGAGGGAGGCGUUAACCUGCUGAAAAAGGCUGACCCACGAUACCUAAUUUAUAAAACUCAGACAUUGCCAGAGUGAGACGGGCUGGACUUCUGUUGUUGCUAUGGGAAAUCUUGCUGUGUUGGGUUCCAUGUGAACUUGAGUCAAAACGCCCUGAAGGCUGUCAGCUCCUAUAUUCUUCUUUCCUUGUGGGCCAGCUGAGAAUCUCCAUUCAUCUGUUGUAGGUGGCCGGGUCAUCGGAACUUUAGGUUCAAAGGGAUCUUAAAAAUGAGGUUCUAGGCCCCGAGCCUAUUACACAGAGUGAAGUAAGUUAGAAAANNNNNNNNNNNNNNNNNNNNNNNNNNNNNNNNNNNNNNNNNNNNNNNNNNNNNNNNNNNNNNNNNNNNNNNNNNNNNNNNNNNNNNNNNNNNNNNNNNNUAAGUUAGAAAAGGAAAGACAAACAUUGUAUAUUAAUGCAUAUAUACGGAAUCUAGAUAAAUGGUACUGAUAGCAGGGCAGCAGCAGCGACUCAGAUAUAGAGAACAGACUUGUGGGCACAGCAGGGGAAGCUGAGGGUGGGGCGAAGUGACAGCGUGGCAGUGAAGCAUAUACGCUGCCAUGUGUAAAGUGGAGAGCCAGCGGGGGCUUGCUGUCUGACGCAGGGAGUUCAGCCUGGGGCUCUGCGAUGACCUAAAGGGGUGGGAUGGGGUAGAGGGAUGGAAGCAGAUUCAGGAGGGAGGGGACAUAUGUGUCCCUAGGGAUGAUUCAUGUUGUUGUAUGGCAGAAAUCAGCACAACAUUGGAAAGCAAUUAGCCCCCAAUUAAAAAUAAAUUAAAAAAAAACACUGAGGUUCUGGGAAUUCCCUGGUAGACCAGUGGUUAGGACUCUGAGCUCUCAGGGCUGAGGACCUGGAUUCAAUCACUGGUUGGGAAACAAAGAUCCCACAAGCUGUGCAGUGAGGCAAAAAGAUACAGAGGUUCUAUCAGUGGUCCCCAACAUUUUGGCACCAGGGCCUGGUUUCGUGGAAGACAAUUUUUUGACAGACUGGGAAGGGGGGAUGGUUUCGGGAUGAUUCAGGCACAUUACAUUUAUUGUGCUAUUUAUUUCUAAGCUAAAGCUGCCACUGAUCUGACAGGGGGUACCAGCCUGUGGCCCAGAGGCUGGGGACCCCUGACCUAAUCAAUAUCACAGUCCACUUAAGGAGCUCUUAUGACUGGUGGUGCUUGAAUACCUAAUUGCUUGAAUACCUCCUUUCCUGAAGACUGCAGCUCUUCCCAAAGCACACCGUAAUAUCUUAAACUGACUCAACUUUUAGAAAAUUGUGCCAUGUACUUCAUACUGUAU
rnacentral:lncRNA from 1 species